AAAAUAACAUUUUCAUUUCCUAUAAGACAAAUUAUUACUAGAACAAAUCCAAAAUAAUAAAACUGUUAUUGGCAUAAACUUUCAUAUUUGUCUACGAUUAUAGUGAAAAAUAUUUUAAAAAUCAAACAGAUGACUUUCCCAAUGCAUUGAACUAGAUCCAAAAAUUCUACAAGUAAAUAUGUAUGUUGUUUUUUAAUGGAGUCAAAUUGGUGGUAGAAAAAUUUUAAACAAAAGAGAGUAAAUAUAGUUUAUUUAAUACUGAAUUGCUUUUUAUAACUUACGGAGGCCAAAAUAAUUUAAAAAAUCAAUUGUAAAUCAAUUAAGCAAAAGUGUGUCUACUCAUAAAACAUAUUCCUAUCACAAAACUUUAGAUCGGAAGGAAUUAUAAACAAACUGCUAUGCAAUUUCAAUUCAAACAAAUACUGUAUUUAUAAGUAUAACAUUUUUAUCAAAUAUUGUAAAAAUGUAUAUCAAAACGAGUGAGAGAUUCUAGGACUCAUUUCAAUCAAAAAUAAUUAGGUAAUUUAAUUUUAAAAGUCAAAAUCUGAAUAAUGUUUGUUAUAGUCAAAUUUAUAUGCUUAAUAAAUUAAAUAAAAACUGUGUCUAAGGAU